UUUCCCUAGUUAACGGCGAGCGAACCGGAAAGAGCCCAGCUUGAAAAUCGUGGUGCCUCGCAUCUCGAAUUGUAGUCUGGAGAAGGUCCCUCUGCGACGCGCCGGACCCAAGUUCCCUGGAAAGGGACGUCAUCGAGGGUGACAACCCCGUCCGCGCCCGGAACGCGUCGCUCCACGAGGACCUGUCUGCGAGUCGGGCUGUUUGGGAAUGCAGCCCUAAGCGGGAGGUAAAUUCCUUCCAAGGCUAAAUAUGGGCAAGAGACCGAUAGCGAACAAGUACCGCGAGGGAAAGAUGAAAAGGACUUUGAAAAGAGAGUUAAAAAGUGCUUGAAAUUGCUGGGAGGGAAGCGAAUGGAAGCUGCGGGUGCGCCCCGGUUGGAUGUGGAACGGCUUCGGCUGGUCCGCCGCUCAACGCGGGGCGCUGGUCAGCGUGGGCCACGGCGCCGGGACAAGAGCGGGGAUUCGCUUCCCGCCUAUGCCGGUGCGGUGGCCGAGGCACGAAGCGCGCGCCGCAAGGCGUGGGUUCGCCCAACUGCGCGCUCGGGACGCUGGCGUAUUGAGCUCUUCAUCCGACCCGUCUUGAAACACGGACCAAGGAGUCUAACAUGUAUGCGAGCCGGUGGGCGGCAAACCCAUUGAGGCGCAAGUAAACUGACAGGUGGGACCCCGACCGUGAGGGAGGGAGCACCAUC
rnacentral:rRNA from 1 species